ACACCGAUGGUGAAGCGGUUAUCAUGCUUGCCUUCCAUGGAGCGGGAUUGAGCAAGCGGCAGGGGUUCGACUCCCCUUCGGUGUA